rnacentral:rRNA from 1 species
CCUACGGGCGGCUGCAGUGGGGAAUAUUGGACAAUGGGCGAAAGCCUGAUCCAGCCAUGCCGCGUGUGUGAAGAAGGCCUUCGGGUUGUAAAGCACUUUCAGUGGGGAAGAAAGCCUGGGGGCUAAUACCCUCGAGGAAGGACAUCACCCACAGAAGAAGCACCGGCUAACUCCGUGCCAGCAGCCGCGGUAAUACGGAGGGUGCGAGCGUUAAUCGGAAUUACUGGGCGUAAAGCGCGCGUAGGCGGUCUGAUAAGCCGGUUGUGAAAGCCCCGGGCUCAACCUGGGAACGGCAUCCGGAACUGUCAGGCUAGAGUGCAGGAGAGGAAGGUAGAAUUCCCGGUGUAGCGGUGAAAUGCGUAGAGAUAGGGAGGAAUACCAGUGGCGAAGGCGGCCUUCUGGACUGACACUGACGCUGAGGUGCGAAAGCGUGGGUAGCAAACAGGAUUAGAUACCCCGGUAGUC